GCUCUCCGAUCCGCUGCCAGUUGCCGAGCCUGCCGUCCCCUCCUUGCAGCGUAAGACCAGCAAAAAGCGAACUGUCUCGCCAAGAUAGAGAUUGCUGCGGCGCGGGAGGGUCCGAUACCUGGCCGGGUCUGACAGAUUGAUACUCCGAAGAAUCGCAAUUUCGUUUCAGUCCCUUCAUUUUUAGACGGACCCAGCUUGAUGCAAGGAUGCUGGCUCUCAUCACCAGGAACCGCAAGAACCCACCCACCCCCCACGUCACCAGACCUCAGUUCUGCCCUCGGAUCCCUUCCCGGUUCCUGAC